GAACGUUUGCAAAAAUUAGUACAGGUACUCCGAAUACAGUUCUUUCAUGCCCUUCCAUUCUAUAUCUGCUUAAGUGCUGAGCUCCUAUUUAGAAGCAAACAAGAUUAAUACCUGUCAGUUACUCACCAAACUAUGCCAUGCAAGUGUAACUUGCUGGGGUUAGAUUGGUCCAUUUCAAUGGCAGACAU
rnacentral:snoRNA from 1 species